rnacentral:rRNA from 1 species
AACGAACGCUGGCGGCAUGCCUAACACAUGCAAGUCGAACGAAACCUCCGGGACCUGGGGCGCCCGGGGGCGUAACGCGUGGGAACCUUCCCUUAGGUUCGGAAUAACUCCACGAAAGGGGUGCUAAUACCGGAUAAUAUCUUAGGACCAAAGAUUUAUCGCCCUUGGAUGGGCCCGAGUUGGAUUAGCUAGUGGGGAGGGUAAAAGCCUACCAAGGCGACGAUCAAUAGCUGGGCAGAGAGGAAGAUCAGCCACACUGAGACUGAGACACGGCCCAGACUCCUACGCGAGGCAGCAGUGGGUAAUAUUGGAAAAUGGGCGAAAGCCUGAUCCAGCAAUGCCGCGUGAGUGAUGAAGGCCUUAGGGUUGUAAAGCUCUUUUACCCGUGAUGAUAAUGACAGUACCGGGAGAAUAAGCCACGGCUAACUCCGUG